rnacentral:rRNA from 1 species
GUCUGCCACCAUACCACCCUGAAUGCUCCCAAUCUUGUAUGAUCUCAGAAGCUAAGCAGGGUUGGCCCUGAUUAAUACUUGGAUGGGAGAAGGCAUUGAUGCCUAGGGCAAGUU